AGUGAACGCUGGCGGCAGGCCUAACACAUGCAAGUCGAGCGGCAGCGCGGGGGCAACCCUGGCGGCGAGCGGCGGACGGGUGAGGAAUGCAUCGGAAUCUACCUCGUUGUGGGGGAUAACCUCGGGAAACCGGGACUAAUACCGCAUACGACCUACGGGUGAAAGUGGGGGACCUUCGGGCCUCACGCGAUGAGACGAGCCGACGCCCGAUUAGCUUGUUGGUAGGGUAAUGGCCUACCAAGGCGACGAUCGGUAGCUGGUCUGAGAGGAUGAUCAGCCACACUGGGACUGAGACACGGCCCAGACUCCUACGGGAGGCAGCAGUGGGGAAUAUUGGACAAUGGGCGCAAGCCUGAUCCAGCCAUGCCGCGUGUGUGAAGAAGGCCU
rnacentral:rRNA from 1 species